ACGGAGGGUGCAAGCGUUAUCCGGAUUUAUUGGGUUUAAAGGGUGCGUAGGCGGUAGAAUAAGUCAGUGGUGAAAAGCUGCAGCUCAACUGUAGUCCUGCCAUUGAAACUGUUUAACUUGAGUAACCAUGAGGUAGGCGGAAUGUGUAGUGGAGAGGUUAGAUGGGUUGUUAUUACGCAGAACACCGAAUGCGUAGGCAUCAAACUGGAGGUCUACUCCCGGUGGUGCGGGAGAGUGUGUGGUUAGGUGGG
rnacentral:rRNA from 1 species